rnacentral:rRNA from 1 species
ACUCAAAGGAAUAGACGGGGACUCGCACAAGCGGUGGAUUAUGUGGUUUAAUUCGUAGGUAAACGAAGAACCUUACCCAGAUUUGAAACUGAAUAGCAAGGCCAAGAAACUGGUCCCUCGCAAGACUGUUCAGCAGGUGAUGCAUGGCCGUCGUCAGCUCGUGGUUUGAACUGUUCCCUUAAGUGGGCUAACGAGCGCAACCCUCGUCGUGUGUUACAAGUGUCACGCGAGACCGCCCCCGCCAAAGUUUUCAAGACUUUAUUUUGAAAAUUUCGGCGGGGGAGGAAGGAGAGGAUGACGCCAGGUCAGCAUGUCCCUUUGAUAUCUGGGGCCACACACAUAAUACAAUGGUUACUACAAUGGGAUGCAAUGGAGCGAUCCGGAGCCAACCCCCAAAGGUAGCCCUAGUUCGGAUAGAAGUCUGCAACUCGACUUCUUGAAGCUGGAAUCGCUAGUAAUCGCAGGUCAGCCAAACUGCGGUGAAUACGUUCUCGAGUCUUGUACACACCGCCCGU